UCCGGCUUGUCACCGGCAGUCUCCUUAGAGUUCCCGGCCGAACCGCUGGCAACUAAGGACAGGGGUUGCGCUCGUUGCGCCACUUAAGGCAACACCUCACGGCACGAGCUGACGACAGCCAUGCACCACCUGUGCGGGCUCCGAAGAGCACCGUGUUUCCACGGUUUCACCCCGCAUGUCAAGCCCAGGUAAAGUUCUUCGCGUCGCAUCGAAUUAAACCACAUGCUCCACCGCUUGUGCAGGCCCCCGUCAAUUUCUUUGAGUUUUAACCUUGCGGCCGUACUCCCCAGGCGGAUGACUUAACGCGUUAGCUGCGCCACCGAAACGCUAAGCGCCCCGACAGCUAGUCAUCAUCGUUUACGGCGUGGACUAC
rnacentral:misc_RNA from 1 species